UUAAAGAUCAGUACCAAGGUCAGUGGAGGGAUUGGUGCAUGUGAUAAGUUAGCUGCCCAGGCUGGCAAAGGGUUAACAGCAACCCUUGGAGUGGCUGCACAGAACCCAGCCAACCAGAGGAAGGCUUAGAAGCAGCCAAUCAGGGCCAGGCUGGGCCCUAUAAGAAAGGCUGCAGGGCAAAGAGGAGCUCAGUCUCUCCAUAGAGUUUGAGGGAGAAGGACUGGUAUCCUGUAGCAAGUGGUGGCUGGCUGAGGCCUUGAUACAGGGGCUGAGUAGGUGCUGGGGCUAUGGGGAAGUGGCCCAGGGAAAGCAGGUAGUGGCAGAGAGGGGAAGGAGAGGCAGUAAGCAGCUGCCAGCUAUAGGGUCCCUGGGUGGGAGCCCACAGUAAUGGGCAGGCCUGCCCCCCUCCCCUUUGCCCCACUGAUUGCUGAGGGAAUUGGCCAGCUGGAGGACUGCAGUUUGCCACUGUGGCAAAAGGCUGUGUGGAGGACUACCCUGUUCUCUGGGAACAGGGGAGACAAUGGAGUUGGGACACAGCUGGAGGUCUGUCCCCUGAAGAGGAUGCCAUGGUCUGGGAGUGAUGCGGGUCCCCACAGACAGCGGAGAUGGUGGAGAAGCAGUGACUGAGACACCACAAGAAGAGGGUGCCCUGCUGAUGGAUGGUGCUAAUUCCUGAAUAAACCAGCAGGAGGCACCACAGUGAUACCCCUGGCAGUAAUUUCCUUAGGAAGUGAGCUCUCUCUCCCACAUGGAAGGCCAUUACAAAAUGCAGAGCAGACACCAAGAGAUGCCCGCUGGGAAAUGCUGGCCUGCUGAGAAGCCUGAAGUCUAAGGAUAAGAGGCCAGUUUGGGGAGAAGCUGGUAAAGGCCCCACAGCUCAAUAAUCCACAACUUGUCUCUGUGACGUUUUGGUGAUCGUGCAGACGAGUAAAGGGUUUUGUCACCUCCUGUCCUGUAACCUUGGGUGCCUUUAUGCUGUGCAACAUUGGUUCAGAGUCCUGACACCACUAGCCUGCCCACAAGCACAAGGUCUCACUCUGGCUUCCACUAGAAUAAUUACAACUUGUUGGGUAAUAUGAAGAGUACUUCCAGGCCUGAGUCUUCCCAAAUCUGCCCUCCCCAAGGUCUUAACUACCAGACACUUGGACUUUUCCCCUCUGGUUUAUCACCCCCAAAGUCAUGGAACCAGCCCCAGACACCAGCUUACUCCACAGAGACCUACUUGGGGUAAAAAUAAACAGUUUGUUUAAUAGGAAAAUCAUAGUUUCAAAGAUGAAAUAGGGAAAGCAAACAUAUAUACAAGUAACCACAGAAAAUAAAAACAAAGAUGCAGCUUCAGGCUUCAAAAUUUCAAGUUAGAUGAAAUCCCCUUUCUAAUACAAGUUACCUGUUGCCUCUGAACAGUUUCCCUAGCUUAGGGGGGAAUCCAACACUUCACAGACAGCACCUGCCAAGUGACUGUCCCUCCAUUUCUGGCUGAAGACAUCAGUUUCAAGCUUCAUUCUUAAAAAGGGGCUUUUUCCUCCCUUUCCAUCAAACAUGGUGACUCACGAUUAUUCAGAGUGGGGAAGUUCUAAUCCGGAUGUUUCAAAGUCAUCUUAACUCUAAUGGCCCAGCAUUUGUCUUUUCCUGGGUUGUAUGAUGCUAGGUACUUGGAACAAGUUUUAUCUGGUUGCCUCCCUGCCUGAAUGCACCCACAAAUUAUGAGCACAAUUUUCUGUAUACAUAAAUUCACAACCACUGUCUGUAUACAUAGCUCAUAAUGAUCAUUAAGGUUAGAACAUUACAAGAUUUCAUAAGACUAACAUAACUUAUAGCACAACAACGUAUAAAUCAGUUGAUUCAACUGCUUACUCUUUGGAGUUCAGACCUCCUAUUCUCCUUUGGGGAGUUUGGACCCCGAUUGUCUCUGGAGACUGAGGAGAGCUGAGAACUCCUACUUAGGAAGGACUAGAAAAUCUGACUAACAAAACCCAAUUCCACGGAGCAGAGCUGGGGAGAUUCUUGGGUAAGGAGAAAGUGUGGAACUGACUAAUACAGCCUUAUUCCAAAGAGAAGACAGCCUGAGAUUCCUGCUUAAGGAAGGACUAAAAAGUGGUUCCCUGGGGUCAAAGACUGUUUUCAGGAGCAGGAAAGAAAAGUCGUCUGAAGGAAGAAGCCAGAGGCAGCUAGUUGGACUAAGCAAGCCCAAGAUGACAAAUGUCCACUGUAGUAUCAGAGUGAGCAUCUACUUGUGCUUAUGGCUGUCAUUAAUAAAUGAGACUGUAAACAAAAAACUGCUAGUACACCACGCAGUUACUCACUAACCGCUUAAAUUUAUAACACGAGCCUUUCCCCAACACUAAACUGAGAUUAAGAAAUGUAAGUCUUGUGAAGGUCUUGUGCUGUAAUUGUUUCAUUUGUUGUUCAAGUUUCUUCUUUAUAUCAGAAGCUGCUUUUGUGAGCCUCUAUAGAACCUUAACAGACAGAACUUUGAAAAAAUCUAAUAUUUUAAAAAUACACUACAAUGAGGAACUCACUGGUAGAACAACAGCAUUUCAGUUUGAAACUGCCAACACAUUUAGUACCUAGUGCCUAUAUUUAAUUAAAGUAGGCCGUGAGCACAACAGAGAAUGCAACUUCUGUUUUUGAAGAUGGUCCAGUGUGCAUUCCACAUGGGACCAUGUGUGUGGUCUUUUCAUGGUCAGAAAACAAUGUUCUUCUCAUGUCCUAUGUUUUCUAUAAUAAUCUGAAAGCUGGCUGUGUACCCAUCCAAAUGCAGAACACAAGUCAUUUGUUUGACACUGAGUUUCACUGUAAUCAGCAUUGUAUGUUAUAUAUGCUAUACUCUUAAGAUAUAAGAGUAACAGAACAGAAGAAUUGCAAAUGCUCUGCAAGUUUGCUUCUAAUGUGCACCUGUCAACAUCAAUAGAUAACACUGCCUCAUGGGUUUUAUUCUGAUUUAGAGAAAAUGUAGCAUUUGUAAUGCUUUCCACAGUUUUAAUAUUUAUGAUAUGAUUAUGGUUUUGAUAAAUCAAAAUAGCUUAACUCUUUGUUUUAAAUGUAAUAAAAUUAAAAAAUAAAUUGCAUGCAUAAAAUAAGCAUAAGAAAACUAAAAAAGGAUUUUCUGUGCUACUGAAGUGGAAGGAAACGCAGCAUAAAUGGAAAAGAAGAAUUUAAAGAGAACUGUUCAUCAGCCAGUCAAUCACCAGCAGAAUAUUCCUUCAUUUGAAUCCAGAUGUCAUAAAUCUUCCAGAAUUUUCAAAUGAGCAGAACUGGAGGAUUCAGGAACUGGAAUAUUCAAGACACAGACUGAGACUGUAAAGGAAACUGAGGAAGCUCUUACGAGGCUGGGUACUGGAAGAAUAUUAAAUUAUUUGGUUUCAA